rnacentral:rRNA from 1 species
GACAGAGGCCUCGAGCGUUAGGCGGAAUCACUGGGCUUAAAGCGUGUGUAGGCGGAUCGUUAAGUGCCUUGUGAAAUCCCACGGCUUAACUGUGGAACGGCUGGGCAUACUGGCGGUCUUGAGCCAUCUAGGGGCGACUGGAACAAACGGUGGAGCGGUGAAAUGCGUAGAUAUCGUUUGGAACGCCAAAGGUGAAAACAGGUCGCUGGGGAUGAGCUGACGCGUGAGAACACGAAAGCCAGGGGAGCAAACGGG